CAACCCAAGCCCAUAGGAGAAAGACCAUGUAUCACCAGCUUGCAACCCGUUUCGGCCGCAACGCGCACCAGAUCAGCGGGCGCGAGCCGCUCGAUAACGAGGCGCUUUACCGCCACGUCCCAUCGAUCUUCGCGCGCGAGGCGCAUGACAGCCGUUCGGAACGCUAUAUCUAUGUUCCCACCAUCGACAUCGUGGAGGGAUUGCGCCGCG
rnacentral:misc_RNA from 1 species